AUUGAACGCUGGCGGCAGGCUUAACACAUGCAAGUCGAACGAGUGGCGGACGGGUGAGUAAUGCUUGGGAACCUAGCUUAUGGAGGGGGAUAACUACGGGAAACUGUAGCUAAUACCGCGUACCAUAGGAUGAGCCCAAGUGUGAUUAGGUAGUUGGUGGGGUAAAGGCGCACCAAGCCGACGAUCUGUAGCUGGUCUGAGAGGAUGAACAGCAACACUGGAACUGGGACACGGCCCAGAGUCAUACGGGAGGCAGCAGUGGGGAAUAUGGGGCAAUGGGUGCAAGCCUGACGCAGCCAUGCCGGGUGUAUGAAGAGGGCCUUAGGGUUGUAAAGUACUUUCAGCGGGGAGGCGUUACCCGCAGAAGAAGCACCGGCUAACUCCGUGCCAGCCGCCGCGGUAAUAC
rnacentral:rRNA from 1 species